rnacentral:rRNA from 1 species
GGGAACUACGAGCCAAGCUUAAAACCCAAAGGACUUGACGGUACCCCAUAUCCCCCUAGAGGAGCCUGUCCUAUAAUCGAUAACCCCCGUUCAACCUCACCACUCCUAGCAACUCAGCCUGUAUACCUCCGUCGUCAGCUUACCACGUGAGCGUUAGUGAGCUCAAUGUUUUUCCAACUAAACGUCAGGUCAAGGUGCAACAUAUGAAGUGGGAAGAGAUGGGCUACACUUUCUAUCUUAGAUCACACGGAAGACUACCUAUGAAACCUAGUCAAAAGGCGGAUUUAGAAGU